rnacentral:rRNA from 1 species
UAGGGAAUUGUUCGCAAUGGGCGCAGGCCUGACGACGCAACGCCGCGUGGGGGAUGAAGGUCUUCGGAUUGUAAACCCCUGUCGAAUGGGACGAAAGACUCGCGAGUUAAUACUUCGCGGGAGUGACGGUACCGUUAAAGGAAGCCACGGCUAACUCUGUGCCAGCAGCCGCGGUAAUACAGAGGUGGCAAGCGUUGUUCGGAAUCACUGGGCGUAAAGCGCACGUAGGCGGAUUUGUAAGUCAGGGGUGAAAUCCCGGGGCUCAACCUCGGAACUGCCUUUGAUACUGCGGAUCUCGAGUCCGAUAGAGGUGAGUGGAAUUCCUAGUGUAGAGGUGAAAUUCGUAGAUAUUAGGAAGAACACCGGUGGCGAAGGCGGCUCACUGGAUCGGUACUGACGCUGAGGUGCGAAAGCGUGGGGAGCAAACAGGAUUAGAUACCCUUGUAGUCCCUGAGCGGGCUGGCAAGGCGCAU